GGUGCAUGGAGGGGUCCGUUCGGAUCGCAGCCGCCGCCGCCGCCGUAGCCGCCGCCAGCGCGCGGGGGAUGACCUGGGGGUGGCUUUCGGAGCCGGCUGCCGCGCAGGAGGUCUGGGGGCUUAGCCAGCCUCGCUGAGAGGUGGCUUGACUGUGCAUGGAAGGAAUUAAGUUCAUUUUAAGAAAGGACACCCCCCCCCCCACCGUCCCAUCUGUAAGGUAUAUGUAAAGAGGAAGUCUUUAUGUUGGAGUAAGAACUUCUGCCAUAGGGCUGGGCUCCAAGAAUUUCAGGUAAAACUUGUUGACUAGUUCUCAUGCUUUCUUUUUCUUUCCCCACUUUUGCCCUUAUGCUUUUGCGACUUUCUAGAUGAUUUCAUUAAUGGUUUUGUCAAAAUGGAAGUUGAAGUAUAAUAUUGCUUUCAGAAAUGUUUCUUAUGCAGACGUUUGGACUAAAAAUCUGUUUGUAAGAUAUUUAGGUACUGUUUGUAAGUGGAUCGGUACUGUUUUUAAGAAAAAUACUAGAGAAAUGAUCUCAAGAAUUAAGCCUUGUAGCAAAAUCAGGCUGGAGAUCAGAAAUUUAAAACGAUUAAGUGAAAAAUUUGUUAUUUUUUAAUACAUUGUUACAUUAGCUAUUGCCUUGUAGUUGGCAUUUCUACUGUGUAAGAGUGUAGCUAAGGCAACACAUCAGAAGAGAAGCCUUGACGUCUACAGAUAGUCUUUCUAUAGACAUAUGAUCUUACUACUUAAUAGAAACUAAUUAGAUUAGAAAGGAAAUUUGGAGUCUGGUUGGUAAAUAGAUUGCUCUGAAGGACUUGAUUUAAUGUGGGUUUUGAUGGGUGCUUUUUUUCAAGAAAUUUUAUUAACUUGAAUUAGAGAAUGUUUUAUUGUUUGUAUUUUAAAUUUUACAUUAUACAUAAACAUUUCAUUGAUUUAUAAGCACCCCAUUUAUAAAUGUUGUAUAUAUGGUACUGACUCAUUUUUCAGGAGAACAGAAAGGAGAGCUUGACUCUCUUCAAUUACAAUGAAGAGAUAGUAUAUGGGAUAUAUUUAAUUUUACUUUAAAUAUAUUGGAUUACAAUUAAAUGAAAAACUGGUUUGUUGGUUUUUUUUAAUCCCUCAAGUUCUCCCUCAUUGUCUGUGCUCUUUCCCCCCAUUGUCAGGCUUAAAACAUACAGUAUCAUUGUCAUCUGUCCCCUGAAUAAUGGUCCUGAGGUGAUAUUAUUAAUGUGGCUUUUUAAAAUCAAACUAAUUAUACUUGCCUAAAAGAGCCACAUGUGUGUGAUUCUAGCUGCCUGGUGCCUUUUGAGAGCCCUGGAGACAAGCUAGUGAAUAGAGCUGAAAAUUCAUUCUGUAUUUGAUUAAAUGGAACAGACUUGCUGCUCCUUACCCCAGCAGGGGCGAUGAGAUCUCUUGAUCCCCGAAGCGGCUCCAAGACCCUGGGAAUUCCAUUAGCGAGCACCUGAGGAAUUUCUGCCCUGCAGUGCCUUUUUUGUAUGUGUGUAUGUGUGUGUGUGGAGAGGGAGG
ensembl:lncRNA